rnacentral:ncRNA from 1 species
GGGUCAGGAGGGCUACAUUAGUGGUCCGCUGGGGCUCCUUACCCACCUGGCUA